rnacentral:lncRNA from 1 species
UAAAUAUAUCGGAUGAAUUCAUGCUAACAAAAUAGGACUACAUCCAUAAGUCAAAUGACUAAGCUAUUUGAAAUAUGGGUAACCUAUCCAUACCUAAAAGUACCAUGUAUGAACACAUGAUCAUCCAAUGGUAGGUUUGAAGUAUGGAAGGUUUUAACCAAACCUAAUCCAAACAUAUCAUGACUUAAAUGGUUUUCAUUAGUCCUUAUGUUCAAGACCUCAAAAGUUCAUCAAAAAUAAUC